UUCAAAAAUGAAAGACGCGAUCUGACUGGUUGCUAUGGGCAACUGUCAUUCCAACUGACAAGUACGCUUUAAUCUAAUUCUCUACCAAAAUAUUAGAAAAAUCGAUCUGAAAUUCUAAAAUUGAGGAUUACUUUGUACACAACUAAAGGUACAUUAACUUGAUGCAUCUAUCCAGCUCUAACCUUGUGAGGGGGUUUCCACUGAAAUCAGCCACUUGGAGUGCUUUACAAAACGAGAUGCUCUCCGGAAUUUCUGGAAUAUCUGAAAUAAGUUUUACAAGGAAGACAUGAAAUUUUAAGAUAACUUCAACGGCUUACAAUACUCGAGAAAGUUACAUCCUUGCCAAUGAUGAAGUCUAUGAUGAACAGAGGAGGGAACAAAAAGACAAUUCAAUGCGGAGGACUACGUCAGAAUCGGUGGAUUGUGAUGAACAGCGUUUUUUUUAAAUGUCAAUAAAAGGGUUAACGAGGGCUGUGGGGGAAGUGUUUUCUUAAAUAAAAAAUGUUUUCA